UANNCUGGCGGAGGCUAAGCAGCAUCCAGGUCUNAAGGAUCCUUCGGGAUUAGUGGCAGACGGGUGAGUAACGCGUGGGAAGCUACCUUGUGGUAGGGGACAACAGUUUGAAAAGACUGCUAAUACCCUAUGAGCCCUAUUGGGGAAAGAUUUAUCGCCAUGAGAUGUGCCCGCGUUAGAUUAGCUAGUUGGUAAGGUAAUGGCUUACCAAGGCGACGAUCUAUAGCUGGUCUGAGAGGAUGAUCAGCCACACUGGGACUGAGACACGGCCCAGACUCCUACGGGAGGCAGCAGUGGGGAAUAUUGGACAAUGGGGGCAACCCUGAUCCAGCCAUGCCGCGUGUGUGAUGACGGCCUUAGGGUUGUAAAGCACUUUCAGCAGUGAAGAUAAUGACAUUAACUGCAGAAGAAGCCCCGGCUAACUUCGUGCCAGCAGCCGCGGUAAUACGAAGGGGGCUAGCGUUGUUCGGAAUCACUGGGCGUAAAGAGUACGUAGGCGGACUGAUAAGUUAGGGGUGAAAUCCCAAGGCUCAAC
rnacentral:rRNA from 1 species